GGCCUAUGAGCUCAUAGAGUACUAAUUUUUUGCAUUAGGGGGAAUCAGGUCAGGUUGUUC
rnacentral:tRNA from 1 species